rnacentral:rRNA from 1 species
GUAUAAGCAACUAUACUGUGAAACUGCGAAUGGCUCAUUAAAUCAGUUAUCGUUUAUUUGAUAGUACCUUACUACAUGGAUAACCGUGGUAAUUCUAGAGCUAAUACAUGCUAAAAACCUCGACUUCGGAAGGGGUGUAUUUAUUAGAUAAAAAACCAAUGCCCUUCGGGGCUCCCUGGUGAUUCAUAAUAACUUAACGAAUCGCAUGGCCUUGUGCCGGCGAUGGUUCAUUCAAAUUUCUGCCCUAUCAACUUUCGAUGGUAGGAUAGUGGCCUACCAUGGUUUCAACGGGUAACGGGGAAUUAGGGUUCUAUUCCGGAGAAGGAGCCUGAGAAACGGCUACUACAUCCAAGGAAGGCAGCAGGCGCGCAAAUUACCCAAUCCCGACACGGGGAGGUAGUGACAAUAAAUACUGAUACAGGGCUCUUUUGAGUCUUGUAAUUGGAAUGAGUACAAUUUAAAUACCUUAACGAGGAACAAUUGGAGGGCAAGUCUGGUGCCAGCAGCCGCGGUAAUUCCAGCUCCAAUAGCGUAUAUUAAAGUUGUUGCAGUUAAAAAGCUCGUAGUUGAACCUUGGGCCUGGUUGGCCGGUCCGCCUCACCGCGUGCACUGGUCCGACCGGGUCUUUCCUUCUGGGGAGCCGCAUGCCCUUCACUGGGUGUGUC